rnacentral:lncRNA from 1 species
UGGUACUGAGAGCAGCCAUCGUGGAGCUUGCAAACGGAGACGCAUGUGAAGCCCUUUGCACAGUAUUUUUCCCUUAAAAUAUGGGUGGGGAACAAGGGCUCUCAUUUCUCUUUUUCUUCGGGAUGGUGAGCAGUGAGCAGGGCACGCCACGAGGAGCAAACUGCAGCCCAAGCACACGCGGUCAACACGCGGAGCACAGCUGGGGAGAAGCGGCUGACGGUGGCCCGGCCCCGCGUACCUGGGUGUGGACGCCCCGCCGCCCUGCAGAGGAAAGCUCCUGGAGUCUGGGGUCUGCUGCCUCGAGCUCUGGGUGUCCAGCCUCUGCCUCAACUGAAAUCUGAAGAUCAGGCCAAUUUCGUGGUCUCUCAGACGUCUAUAAACAAGAGGCCUUGGCUCCUCGGGAGACCGGGAGACUCUCACUGUACUUCCUUCUCUUGCCUCCAAGGACAUAGAACGGUUGCUGUGGGGAUUCCUUCAUUUGUAAAGACAAUCAUGCUGGCUGUUAGUGGAGAAUGGCCUGGAGCACUAGAUCUCCACCCCAGCUGCCUGGGAGAAACUGUGUUGAAGGAGCCAUACCCCCUGGCCUCCCCUCCAGACUCCAGACAACCCCAGUCAGCUGGCUGGGAGGGAGGCAGAAGAGAAACAGGGGUGCACCUGGGGCCCCUGCAGGGGUCCAGCCAGGAGAUGGGGGCAACUUGGACAGGGAUGAUCCUGGGAAGGGCAGGAGGAGGAGUGAGACCUGGCCUGCCCUCUCCCUAAAGGCUCACCAGC